CCUACGGGGGGCUGCAGUGGGGAAUAUUGGACAAUGGGGGGAACCCUGAUCCAGCCAUGCCGCGUGUGUGAAGAAGGCCCUCGGGUUGUAAAGCACUUUCAGUGAGGAAGAACGCCUGGUGGUUAAUACCCAUCAGGAAAGACAUCACUCACAGAAGAAGCACCGGCUAACUCCGUGCCAGCAGCCGCGGUAAUACGGAGGGUGCGAGCGUUAAUCGGAAUUACUGGGCGUAAAGCGCGCGUAGGUGGCUUGAUAAGCCGGUUGUGAAAGCCCCGGGCUCAACCUGGGAACGGCAUCCGGAACUGUCAAGCUAGAGUGCAGGAGAGGAAGGUAGAAUUCCUGGUGUAGCGGUGAAAUGCGUAGAGAUCGGGAGGAAUACCAGUGGCGAAGGCGGCCUUCUGGACUGACACUGACACUGAGGUGCGAAAGCGUGGGUAGCAAACAGGAUUAGAUACCCGAGUAGUC
rnacentral:rRNA from 1 species